UACGUAGGGUGCAAGCGUUGUCCGGAAUUAUUGGGCGUAAAGAGCUCGUAGGCGGUUUGUCGCGUCUGCUGUGAAAACCCGAGGCUCAACCUCGGGCCUGCAGUGGGUACGGGCAGACUAGAGUGCGGUAGGGGAGAUUGGAAUUCCUGGUGUAGCGGUGGAAUGCGCAGAUAUCAGGAGGAACACCAAUGGCGAAGGCAGAUCUCUGGGCCACUACUGACGCUGAGAAGCGAAAGCGUGGGGAGCGAACAGG
rnacentral:rRNA from 1 species